rnacentral:rRNA from 1 species
GGAUGAGCCCGCGGCCUAUCAGCUUGUUGGUGGGGUGAUGGCCUACCAAGGCGACGACGGGUAGCCGGCCUGAGAGGGCGACCGGCCACACUGGGACUGAGACACGGCCCAGACUCCUACGGGAGGCAGCAGUGGGGAAUAUUGCACAAUGGGCGCAAGCCUGAUGCAGCGACGCCGCGUGAGGGAUGACGGCCUUCGGGUUGUAAACCUUCUUUCAGCAGCGGCGAGAAGCGGGAGUGACGGUACCUGCAGAA